GGGAGACUAAAGAAAGGAAGAAAGAAAAGUUAGAUGAGGAACACAAAGCCUUUUAAAAUCUUCGUAUUUCUGGGUAUGCCUCAUCCUUGACAACUAUCAAACAGUGCAACUCUUACUGAAAUACUCUUAUCUUAAGCUGAAUUCUCUCUACCAGUGUGAUGUGGUUGCUGCUCAUGAAAUCCUCAAGGAAUGAAAACAUCAAGACUCUUGUAGAGUUUGGCAAAGAAAGCUUAUAGAGGAAAAAAAAUAAGCAUUGGCUUUAAAAGGAGGCUCACUGCUGCACGGAGUUAGCCAGAUUUGCACCAGUGGUUCCCUCCGCCUGAAGCUCUCUACCCCAGAUCUUUGCAAGACCCAAUCUUUUUUUGGUUAUUUUGGUUCAAGCUAAAUGUCCCCUCCUCGGCAAUCAUUCUCCUGGCCACUCAACCUAAAGUCAUCCCCCAUACUUGCAUCACUUCCUAUCACAUCAUGUGCUUUUCAUUACAGCAUUUAUCACCAUUUGACAUUUUCUUAUUUAUUCAUUUGUUUUGUUAUUAACUGUUCCCUUUUUUUUUUGAGGUAAAAUGUGUAUAAAAUAAGAUUAAUCAUUUUAAAAUGAGCAAUUCAGUGGAGUUAGCACAUCACAAUGUACUAAAACCAUACCUAGUUCCAAAAUGUUUUCAUCAUCCUAAAAGGAAACUCUGUACCCAUUAAGCCAUCGAUCUCUAUCUUCUGCCCCCAUUUUGCCCCUGGUAACCACUAAUCCUCAUUUGUUUCUAUGGAUUUACCUAUUCUGGACAUCUCAUAUAAAUGGAAUCAUACAAUUUACAAUCUUUUGUGUCUGGCUUCUUUCACAUAGCAUAAUGUUUUCUGGGUUCAUCCACAUUAUAGCAUGUAUAAGUACUUCACUCCUUUUUAUGACUGAAUACUAUUCCACAUGCAUACAUACAACUAAUUGUUUGUUCAUUCACCCAUUGAUGGAGUCCCCCUCUUUUUUUUUCACCAGACUGUAGACUUGUCUGUCUCAUCAAAGAUGUGUCUAGAGGAGAACCUUCCAUAUAGUGAGUGAUUAGUACAUGCUUAUUUUAUCAAUGAAUGAAUGAAUGAUGAAUACUAAUAUUUAAGGGGCAGGUAUAAGAGGGAGAAGCUUGGAAGCAGACUAGGAAAGACUGGGAAGCCAGGAAGGCAGCAGGAGAAUCAGUGGAGAACGGUGUCUUAGACAUCAGAGAACAUGAGAGUAUCAAGAGAAAGGGAUUAAGGAAGAUGAGUUCUUUAAACUGUACUUAAUUAAGGAAGAUGAGUUCUUUAAACUGUACUUAAUUAACAACCAGGAGGUCACUUGUGGUCUGAGUCGGAACGCUAUUGGUGCAGAAGUCAGAAUUCAGCAAUGCAUGGAAACCACUGGACCCAGAAUGGUGGUCUGGGCUGUCUUUCAGGGAACUCUAGGGCCUCCAUCAUGGCUUAACUUCCCUGUGCCCAGACCUACAACAGUAGAGAUUUUCUCUCCUGGUUGACUCUAUAGUUACAAACUCCUCAAAGGAAUAAUGUAUAAUUUUAGAGGUGGAAAGUAACCCAGUGUUCAUUAAGUUAUAGAACAGAUAGUCUUGCCUGCUUUUUAUAAAGCGCCUGCUAGUGCCAGGUACUAUUUUAGGUGUUGGGGUUAAAACAGUAAACAAAAAAGAGAAUAAUAUUCUACUUUAGUGGAGCUUCUAAAGUUCUAUAGGAGGGAGACAAACAAACAAGUGAAUAAAAUGUUUUAUGGUAAAGUGCUAUGAAAAAAAAAAAAAAAAAACCAACAACAACAAACCAAAAACUAGGAUGAGGG